rnacentral:rRNA from 1 species
UACAGAGGUGGCAAGCGUUGUUCGGAAUUACUGGGCGUAAAGGGCGCGUCGGCGGUUCUGUAAGUCCCGCGUGAAAUCCCCCGGCUCAACUGGGGAACUGCGCGGGAAACUGUGGGGCUAGAGUUCAGGAGAGGGAAGCGGAAUUCCGGGUGUAGCGGUGAAAUGCGUAGAUAUCCGGAGGAACACCGGUGGCGAAGGCGGCUUCCUGGACUGACACUGACGCUGAGGCGCGAAAGCUAGGGGAGCAAACGGG